rnacentral:rRNA from 1 species
GACGAACGCUGGCGGCGUGCUUAACACAUGCAAGUCGAACGGAAAGGCCCUGCUUUUGUGGGGUGCUCGAGUGGCGAACGGGUGAGUAACACGUGAGUAACCUGCCCUUGACUUUGGGAUAACUUCAGGAAACUGGGGCUAAUACCGGAUAGGAGCUCCUGCUGCAUGGUGGGGGUUGGAAAGUUUCGGCGGUAGGGGAUGGACUCGCGGCUUAUCAGCUUGUUGGUGGGGUAGUGGCUUACCAAGGCUUUGACGGGUAGCCGGCCUGAGAGGGUGACCGGCCACAAUGGGACUGAGAGACGGCGCAGACUCCUACGGGAGGCAGCAGUGGGGAAUAUUGCACAAUGGGCGGAAGCCUGAUGCAGCAACGCCGCGUGCGGGAUGACGGCCUUCGGGUUGUAAACCGCUUUCGCCUGUGACGAAGCGUGAGUGACGGUAAUGGGUAAAGAAGCACCGGCUAACUACGUG